UCUUAUUUUAGUGUAAAAAAUGUAUCAGACAUGUAUAAGAAAUAAAACUUUAAUUGUUAAAUUACUUUGUUAUUGCUCAGAUAAGGAUUCGUAUAAUUUAUAGCGUACAUGAUAAUUCAAAAGGUGCAUAGGUGCAGAGUACAGACAUGGACAAACAACAGAAAAGUGGUUCUUUGCUCGAAAUCGAUGAUAAUAUCAUAAGGAAACAACUACUUUUAGAGUAUUAAGAUUUAUGCUGACAAUACAUCCUGGAGGCUUAUCAUAAAAUAGGAACCAGUUCAAGCUCAUACCUGCCAGAAUAUUCUUGGGGUGAGUUUAUUAUCCUUAACACCAUAGUACCAUGAGGUGCAUUUUACAUUAUCAUAAAUCAAAUGCAUAUUAUACAAUUUGUAAAAAAAAAAAAAAAAAAAAAAAAA